rnacentral:rRNA from 1 species
UACGUAGGCAGCAAGCGUUGUUCGGAAUUACUGGGCGUAAAGAGUGUGUAGGCGGUGUUCUAAGUCUGUCGUGAAAUCUCCCGGCUUAACUGGGAGGGUGCGGCGGAAACUGGAAUGCUAGAGGGUGGGAGAGGAAAGCGGAAUUCCUGGUGUAGCGGUGAAAUGCGUAGAUAUCAGGAGGAACACCUGCGGUGUAGACAGCUUUCUGGACCACUUCUGACGCUGAGACACGAAAGCGUGGGUAGCAAACAGG